UUCCUUCCGGUUGAUGAGGUUUAGCUUCCUCAUUGACCGAAGGAGAGUCCUUCUGGUCGAUGAGGAAGCUAUACCUCAUCAACCAGAAGGGA
rnacentral:miRNA from 1 species